rnacentral:misc_RNA from 1 species
CUGCGAGUUCGCGGGAGAGUAAGUUAUUGCCAGGGUUUUUAUUUUGUAAUUUAAACCUUAAAUUUAUUUUUUAUAUUUUUAUAAUGUUUAUGUUUUUGAAUGUUUUAUUCAAAUAAUGUAAAAAAUAAAAUAGAUAUUGACAUGGAUUGAACAAAAGAUAUAUAUUAUUUUAUGUUGCAUAAACAAAUUGGCAAAAUAGAGAUGGAAGAUAAAAAUAUGGUCAAAGUAAUAAGAGUCUAUGGUGAAUGCCUAGGA